CUACGGGUUGCUCCAGUGGGGAAUUUUGCGCAAUGGGGGAAACCCUGACGCAGCAAUACCGCGUGAGUGAAGAAGGCCUUUGGGUCGUAAAGCUCUUUUCUUGGGGAAGAUAGUGACGGUACCCAAGGAAUAAGCACCGGCUAACUCCGUGCCAGCAGCCGCGGUAAUACGGAGGGUGCAAGCGUUGUUCGGAUUUACUGGGCGUAAAGGGCACGUAGGCGGCACAGCAAGUUAAGGGUGAACUCCCGGGGCUCAACUCCGGAACUGCUCUUAAAACUGCUGAGCUAGAGAUAGUCAGAGGCGGGUGGCAUUCCAGGGGGAGAGGUGAAAUUCGUAGAUAUCUGGAGGAACACCGGUGGCGAAGGCGGCCCGCUGGGGCUAUUCUGACGCUAAGGUGCGAAAGCGUGGGGAGCAAACGGGAUUAGAUACCCCGGUAGUC
rnacentral:rRNA from 1 species